rnacentral:rRNA from 1 species
AUUGAACGCUGGCGGCAGGCCUAACACAUGCAAGUCGAACGGUAACAGGAAGCAGCUUGCUGCUUUGCUGACGAGUGGCGGACGGGUGAGUAAUGUCUGGGAAACUGCCUGAUGGAGGGGGAUAACUACUGGAAACGGUAGCUAAUACCGCAUAACGUCGCAAGACCAAAGAGGGGGACCUUAGGGCCUCUUGCCAUCGGAUGUGCCCAGAUGGGAUUAGCUAGUAGGUGGGGUAACGGCUCACCUAGGCGACGAUCCCUAGCUGGUCUGAGAGGAUGACCAGCCACACUGGAACUGAGACACGGUCCAGACUCCUACGGGAGGCAGCAGUGGGGAAUAUUGCACAAUGGGCGCAAGCCUGAUGCAGCCAUGCCGCGUGUAUGAAGAAGGCCUUCGGGUUGUAAAGUACUUUCAGCGGGGAGGAAGGGAGUAAAGUUAAUACCUGUGCUCAUUGACGUUACCCGCAGAAGAAGCACCGGCUAACUCCGU